rnacentral:rRNA from 1 species
UACAGAGGGUGCAAACGUUGUUCGGAAUUACUGGGCAUAAAGAGCACGUAGGCGGCUCAUCAAGUCACGCGUGAAAUCCCCCGGCUCAACCGGGGAACUGCGCCUGAUACUGGUGGGCUAGAGGACGGUAGGGGUGAGUGGAACUCUAGGUGGAGCGGUGAAAUGCGUAGAUAUCUAGAGGAACACCGGUGGCGAAAGCGGCUCACUGGACCGUAACUGACGCUGAGGUGCGAAAGCUAGGGUAGCAAACGGG